CCGGGGCCGCCGGGGUGGGCGCAGGCCGGGGGCGUCGCUGCAGCCUUUGUGCCCGGCGGCGGGGUGGGGAGGUCAGCGCCGGGCCGGGCCGCGGCCGCCGGGGAUGGGCUGGAGAACCGGUCUCGGACAAAGCGGCGGCCCCGCCCCGUCAUGCCCCGGGGGGCUGGAACAAAAGACGCUCCUGCCCUGGGCGGCCGCCCCGGGCGGAGGGCGUGCGCGUGGGCAGCCGUGGGCACCUCUGGACCGUCCGCCCCCGCUCUGUGUCUGCACCUCCACUGGGCUGAGCCCCUCCCAGGCCCUGCAGUCCAGCUCUGGCCAGGGUCGUCUGGGUCCGUGGGGGCGUCGGCCCCUGGUCUCUGCCUCCAUCCUGUGUCCAGAGCAGCGCGUGGGGGACAGGCAGCUGGAGCCGCGUUUAAGGCCUGGAGUAGGGUGCUUGGAAGCGCGAAGUGGUUGGAUGACCCAGGGGCUUGGAGGGGUGGCGGCCGAGAAGAGCGGCGGGGAAGGUCAGGUAGGGGGUAGGGGUUGUGUGCACACCGAGUCUGCGUAUUUUCCAUCAUUCCUGGCGUGCAGGCGUGCACACCUGCGUGAACCACAUGUUCACAGACGUGUGCACAAGUGUGCAUCGGCCUUGCUUGGUGGACAUUUGGCAAACGACAAUGGAGGCAAAGAAACCUCUCUGCAUCCCCAAGUGCGCACCUGCGUGAGGCCCCCUCCUCUGCAUGUGCUCUUGCGGGGUGCGCUCUUGUGAACUCUGCCCCUCUGUGUGCUUCCCUCGGGACACCAGGCCUUGCACAGGACGUAUGGAUGAGCUGUGCCACGGGGCUGUGCUUGCUUCUGCAUGUAGCCUGCUGAUGAGUGUGCACAAGCGUGUGCACACGCCACCUCUCUGUAUGGGUUCACAUACUGUUAGCCAUGUCACCAACAGACACAUCAGCUUGUGCAUGCGUGUUCCACCACUGGGUAUACAUGCUAAUGCGUGCCUGUGCAGUCUCUCCUUGGACACACAUGUAUGUGUGGUACCAGUGUGUGCAGGCAUGUUUGUGCAUGAACAUGUUUGCACAUGUGUGCUUGAUCAUGUAUGUGCGUGUGCGCGCGCGCUUCGUCUUUUGAGAUCUGCUGGCAAGUCAGCCUGUGUGUGGGGGCACGGGGAGCCUUGGCAUCCCUGGAGCCCUCACCAGGAGGCCUCGGGAGCCUUGGAGUGGGAGGCUCAGGGCCAGCCAGGAGAGUGGCCCCCAGCCCUGGGCAGAGGAACUGGGGCCAUCUUCUGCUCUCUCAUCUUCCGUUGCUGACCUGGGAAAAGGGGUUGAAUAACUUGGGCACCCUAGGAUCCUGCAUUGAGGACCCGGGCUGUGGGGAAGCAUGGGCAUGGCCCCCCUGCUGGGGGCUGGGCCCUGGCUGAAGCACCAACCUUCGCCCUGGCCCCUCCCUCAGAAGCCUAAUGGAUCCCCUCCUCCACGCAGACGGCCCUGUACUGCCCUCGCCCAGUCGGGUGGGGGUGCUGGAACCCACUCACCUCUGGGCCUUCUCUCUGGUAACCCGCUCUCAUGGGAGCUGGUUACAGGAGCCAGUUCUGGGGGCUGUGGGGCUGCAGUAGGUGCCGUAGAGCGGCUGCCCUGGGAAAGUGCCUCGCCCGGUGGAGCAUGGACUGGAGUGGGGAGGGCGACCAUUGACGAGGUGGAGACGGACGUGGUGGAGAUUGAGGCCAAACUGGACAAGCUGGUGAAGCUGUGCAGUGGCAUGGUGGAAGCCGGUAAGGCCUACGUCAGCACCAGCAGGCUGUUCGUGAGCGGCGUCCGCGACCUGUCCCAGCAGUGCCAGGGCGACACCGUCAUCUCGGAAUGUCUGCAGAGGUUCGCUGACAGCCUACAGGAGGUGGUGAACUACCACAUGAUCCUGUUUGACCAGGCCCAGAGGUCUGUGCGGCAGCAGCUCCAGAACUUUGUCAAAGAGGAUGUGCGGAAGUUCAAGGAGACAAAGAAACAGUUUGACAAGGUGCGGGAAGACCUGGAGCUGUCCCUGGUGAGGAACGCCCAGGCCCCAAGGCACCGGCCCCACGAGGUGGAGGAAGCCACGGGGGCCCUCACCCUCACCAGGAAGUGCUUCCGCCACCUGGCACUGGACUAUGUGCUCCAGAUCAAUGUCCUGCAGGCCAAGAAGAAGUUUGAGAUCCUGGACUCUAUGCUGUCCUUCAUGCACGCACAGUCCAGCUUCUUCCAGCAGGGCUACAGCCUCCUGCACCAGCUGGACCCCUACAUGAAGAAGCUGGCGGCUGAGCUGGACCAGCUGGUGAUCGACUCUGCAGUGGAAAAGCGUGAGAUGGAGCGAAAGCAUGCCGCCAUCCAGCAGCGGACGCUGCUGCAGGACUUCUCCUAUGAUGAGUCCAAAGUGGAGUUUGACGUGGACGCGCCCAGUGGGGUGGUGAUGGAGGGCUACCUCUUCAAGAGGGCCAGCAACGCUUUCAAGACGUGGAACCGGCGCUGGUUCUCCAUUCAGAACAGCCAGCUGGUCUACCAGAAGAAGCUCAAGGAUGCCCUCACCGUGGUGGUGGACGACCUCCGCCUGUGCUCUGUGAAGCCGUGUGAGGACAUCGAGCGGAGGUUCUGCUUCGAGGUGCUGUCACCCACCAAGAGCUGCAUGCUGCAGGCCGACUCCGAGAAGCUGCGGCAGGCCUGGGUCCAGGCUGUGCAGGCCAGCAUCGCCUCCGCCUACCGCGAGAGCCCCGACAGCUGCUAUAGCGAGAAGCUGGACCGCACAGCAUCCCCGUCCACGAGCAGCAUCGACUCCGCGACCGACCCUCGGGAGCGUGGCGUGAAGGGCGAGAGUGUGUUGCAGCGUGUGCAGAGUGUGGCCGGCAACAGCCAGUGCGGCGACUGCGGCCAGCCAGACCCCCGCUGGGCCAGCAUCAACCUGGGCGUGCUGCUCUGCAUCGAGUGCUCCGGCAUCCACAGGAGCCUGGGUGUCCACUGCUCCAAGGUCCGGUCCCUGACACUGGACUCGUGGGAGCCAGAGCUGCUAAAGCUGAUGUGUGAGCUUGGAAACAGCACUGUAAAUCAGAUCUAUGAGGCCCGGUGUGAGGGUCCAGGCAGCAGGAAACCCACAGCCAGCAGCUCCCGGACAAGGAGGCCUGGAUCAAGGACAAAUACGUGGAAAAGAAAUUUCUGCGGAAGGCGCCCAUGGCACCAGCCCUGGAGGCCCCAAGACGCUGGAGGGCGCAGAAGUGCCCCCGGCCCCACAGCUCUCCCCGCGCCCCCACUGCCCGCCGCAAGGUCCGGCUUGAGCCCGUUCUGCCCUGUGUGGCCGCACUGUCCUCAGUGGGCACCCUGGACCGUAAGUUCCGCCGAGACUCCCUCUUCUGCCCCGACGAGCUGGACUCGCUCUUCUCCUACUUCGACGCAGGGGCCGCGGGGGCUGGCCCUCGCAGUCUGAGUAGCGACAGUGGCCUUGGGGGCAGCUCGGAUGGCAGCUCAGACGUCCUGGUUUUCGGCUCGGGUUCUGUGGUGGACAGCGUCACUGAGGAGGAGGGUGCGGAGUCGGAGGAGUCCAGCGGUGAGGCAGACGGGGACGCUGAGGCCGAGGCCUGGGGCCUGGCGGACGUGCGCGAGCUGCACCCGGGGCUCUUGGCGCACCGCGCAGCGCGUGCCCGCGACCUUCCUGCGCUGGCGGCGGCGCUGGCCCACGGGGCCGAGGUCAACUGGGCGGACGCGGAGGAUGAGGGCAAGACGCCGCUGGUGCAGGCCGUGCUAGGGGGCUCCUUGAUCGUAUGUGAGUUCCUGCUGCAAAACGGAGCGGACGUGAACCAAAGAGACAGCCGCGGCCGGGGGCCCCUGCACCACGCCACGCUGCUGGGCCGCACCGGCCAGGUUUGCCUGUUCCUGAAGCGGGGCGCGGACCAGCACGCCCUGGACCAAGAGCAGCGGGACCCGUUGGCCAUCGCAGUGCAGGCGGCCAACGCUGACAUCGUGACACUGCUCCGUCUGGCGCGCAUGGCGGAGGAGAUGCGCGAGGCCGAGGCUGCCCCGGGUCCCCCUGGCGCCCUGGCGGGCAGCAGCCCCACGGAGCUCCAGUUCCGCAGGUGCAUCCAGGAGUUCAUCAGCCUCCACCUGGAAGAGAGCUAGGGCCGGGCAGGCCGGGCAGCUGCCACCCCGCCCGGCCCGAUGCCCCGCAUGCUCCGAAGUUCCUGGCGCCCACCCGGCCGCGGCCCUGCCUGUGACCCGCGGGUCGAUGCCCAGCAGCCCCAGUGCCGGGGUGCCGCGGCCCCGCUCGCCCAGGAGGAGAGCGAGGGCCCCGCACUGAGUCUCUUGAAGCCUCACGUUUCCCUGGGGGGAUGCUGCAUCGUCGGGUGCCCCUUGCCCCACCUGGGGAACCUCUGUCUUCAGGUCACCCCUUUUCAGGGGCCUGGGUUGCUCAUGUCACAAGCCACUCUCAAGGCCCGUGUCACCUGUAUCCCUCUGUCCUCAGGGCCUGUGUUACUUUGUGCCCCACUUCUGCCCAGAACACUGACCUGUUAGCUGGGUCCCUCCUGCACACCCCAGAGCCUCCUCCCAGGGCAGAAAGGGUGGCCCAUCCAGGGAACCAACGAGUACCUCACUUAGUGACCCCAGCAUCCAGGCUGGUGUCGCGGGUGCUGGGCGGGAGGGGCUCUGGCCUGGGUCCUCAGCCCUGGCUGGACGCGGGCGUCCCAAGGCCACGUGGCUGGCCACGAAGGUCCCCGUGCCAGACAGCCCCAGCCGCGUCCCGGCCUCCUCCGGAGGCACCUUCUCCCGGUACUCGGCCCAGAGCCUGCGCAUAAAGCCACUUUGCCACUUUGCAGCCCGCAUCUCAUGUUCUUUGUAGUGGACCGAGUGGGUUUGCUAUAGGCCUUGUCUGACUUUGUCUUGCGUCUUUUCUCUGUGGACUCUUGAGGACGCCUGAGCCCCAGCCCUGCCCCUGACCAGCCUCCCCCUUGGGUCCAGGGGUCCCUUGGCUCCUAUUGCAGGGCCUGCCAAUGCCUUCACGCACCCCUUCCCCAAAGGUGCCCGGUAGGGAGGCGGGGCCUCCCCAACUCGGCGCAGGUCAGGCUAAGGCCAGUCGGCUGGUCACUAUGCAAUGCUGCCCUGGGGAGGCUCCCUGAGGGCACAGUGGGCGCUGGACCCGGCCCCCCAACUCUCUUGCCUGCUGCCUGUGACCCUGAAGAACAGAAUUGAUUCUUGCCCCUCUCCCUGUGUGAGCUUGGCCCCGCCUCCUGCCCCAGGCCCCUGCUGGCGGGUCUCACCCCCCACCCCACCCCUCGCUUUGAAUAAACCGCUUGCGCCCACCGCCUG